rnacentral:rRNA from 1 species
UGGCGGACGGGUGAGUAACGCGUGGGUAACCUGCCUCACACUGGGGGACAACAGUUAGAAAUGACUGCUAAUACCGCAUAAGCGCACAGGACCGCAUGGUCCGGUGUGAAAAACUCCGGUGGUGUGAGAUGGACCCGCGUUUGAUUAGCUAGUUGGUGGGGUAACGGCCUACCAAGGCGACGAUCAAUGGCCGACCUGAGAGGGUGACCGGCCACAUUGGGACUGAGACACGGCCCAA